rnacentral:rRNA from 1 species
AUUGAACGCUGGCGGCAGGCCUAACACAUGCAAGUCGAGCGAGAGGAGGACGGGUGAGCGGUGUAGGGGGAUGUGCGUGAUGGAGGGAGAUCACUACUAGAACCGGUAGCAAAUACCGCAAACCAUGAUAUGAACCCAUAUGGGAUUAGCUUGUAGGUGAGGUAACGGCGUACCUAGGCGACGAUCCCUAGCAGGUCUGAGAGGAUGAUCAGCCACACUGGGACUGAGACACGGCCCAGACUCCUACGGGAGGCAGCAGUGGGGAAUAUUUCACAAUGGGCGAAAGCCUGAUGCAGCCAUGCCGCGUGUAUGAAGAAGGCCUUCGGGUUGUAAAGUACUGUCAGUCGGGAGGCGUUACCGACAGAAGAAGCACCGGCUAACUCCGUGCCAGCAGCCGCGGUAAUAC